GAUCAUGGCUCAGGAUGAACGCUAGCUACAGGCUUAACACAUGCAAGUCGAGGGGCAGCAUGAACUUAGCUUGCUAAGUUUGAUGGCGACCGGCGCACGGGUGAGUAACACGUAUCCAACCUGCCGAUGACUCGGGAUAGCCUUUCGAAAGAAAGAUUAAUACCCGAUGGCAUAGUUCUUCCGCAUGGUAGAACUAUUAAAGGAUUUCGGUCAUCGAUGGGGAUUCGUUCCAUUAGGUUGG
rnacentral:rRNA from 1 species